UUGUUUUAAUUAAUUUCGUUUUUAUUAACCUCUUUUUUGGGAAGUGAAUCAGUAUUUACGCAAUGUCGAUCUUGCCAAUCGUAAAACCAAAACUCUCGCUUUACGUAUGCUUAUACCUUAUCUGGUACCAUCUUGGGUUUUCACGUCAUUUGCAGUUUGACAAGACCAAAAUUUGACAAGACCAUAAUUUGAUGUUGGAACGGUCUAUCCCUGAGAAUGAUCAUAGGAAGGGCAAUCCCUCACUUCCCACCAACCUGGACUCCGCACUUUCAAAGUGCGAGUGAUCUGAAAACUGCGAGCUGUCAAAACACAUGUAUUUCCAGUGAUAGAGAUGGUAUUUUCAUAGACAGACCAGUCGAACUAACCAGUCUACACUCAAAAAAUAAAUCACUUUGAUUUCAUGUGAAUAUUCACGUGAAUGAAUAGUUACCAUCUUUCAACAUACAUUACAUGAUUCCUAUAGAUGACAUUUGACAAUCUCGUAGAAACUAUUUGAUUCACAUAUAACAUUUAAGUGAUACGACAUUGGCCGUUGAAACUCAGUUCACGUGAAUUGGCGGAAAUUUCAUUAAAUAAAGUAUUGCAAAUCUGUUGAGUUUUUGUUAUAAGUAUAUAUAUAAGCACGACGACAUAAGGUAAACCAAACACGUCAUUUUUAUCCGAGGAAUACGUACCAAAUACAAUAAAUUUCGCAUAACAAAUCGGACAAAUGAGCAACUUAUACAAUUCUUUGCUCUGUUAUUUGUUCCCUCAGUGUCAUUGUUUUUGAAUCAAUUUUAGUCCUUUUCAAAAAUGAGCACUAGCUUUCGAACCGCUAAUGUGAUUGUCAUUGGGAAGCAACGUUGGAGUUUAGGAUCAUCAGAGUGUAAAAAGGAAACCAAGACAGUGACCACUCUAAUACAAGAAUAGAUGGAUGUUUAUCUAAAUCUCGGUCAACAGACGUCAACAGCUUGAUUUGUAUCAUUGUAUCCGGAUUACACAGAACGAAGCAGGAAUAUGAUUCGGGCGAUCGUCCAACCAUGCUUUACGAAGGUCCAUCAUACAGGGAAAUUUCCCAGGUUCACCUUAUUCUCCGGGGAAGAGGAAUAGCUAAAGUAUGAUAUGGUUCACACGUCAUUGAAGUUUUUGUCCCUAUUAUCCUUUGCAUGGAGAAGGUAGUGUGUGCCUAUUCGAUCUAGUACACGCCAGUGGAUCUAACCUACUAAGGCUUCCUGGUAGGGUGCCGAAGUCGGUCCGGCGAUUUCGGGUGGAGCGUUGCGUCCAGUUGUCUGGCACCUCGACGACCCGCAACUGGCGAGCACCAUAAUACAACGUCUUGAUAUUGAAGAUCCAUGAUUCAUUGCACAGAAAGGUAAAAAACUGGCUGGGAAUGCAUUGUAUCCGCAACAAUAAUCUGCUUGACGGUGAUGUUUGUGAUGAGAACAUUGUCAUAUUUCUACCGCGGCAAAAAUCAGUCAAUUUAUUCGUAGAUACUGUAGAGAAUAUUAUUACACUCGGUAAGAUUAAUUGUCAAAAAUGUAUAAUGAAAAAUUAAAAGGAAAUUAUAUACUUCAU